rnacentral:rRNA from 1 species
UACGGAAGGUCCGGGCGUUAUCCGGAUUUAUUGGGUUUAAAGGGAGCGCAGGCCGCCCUGUAAGCGUGACGUGAAAUGCCGCGGCUCAACCGUGGAAGUGCGUCGCGAACUGCUGGGCUUGAGUGGGGACGACGCGCGCGGAAUUCGUGGUGUAGCGGUGAAAUGCUUAGAUAUCACGAAGAACCCCGAUUGCGAAGGCAGCGCGCGAGGCCCUGACUGACGCUAAUGCUCGAAGGUGCGGGUAU